rnacentral:rRNA from 1 species
UAGGGAAUCUUCGGCAAUGGGGGCAACCCUGACCGAGCAACGCCGCGUGAGUGAAGAAGAUUUUCGGAUCGUAAAGCUCUGUUGUAAGAGAAGAACGUGUGUGAGAGUGGAAAGUUCACACAGUGACGGUAACUUACCAGAAAGGGACGGCUAACUACGUGCCUG